GCGGCUAGAAGAAAAAAGCAGGCAAAGUUUUGAGUGUUGCGCUCUGCCUUUUUUUUUCUCUUUGUUUUUCGCACUAGCUGCCGGAAGCAUCGGCGUUGCGUCGAGUUUGAUGAAUGACUAAGAUAAAA
ensembl:ncRNA C18B12.13 ncRNA